UAUCUGAUCUGACCAACGGUUUGGUGGC
rnacentral:sRNA from 1 species